rnacentral:rRNA from 1 species
CGUCGCCGCGGGAAUACGUAGGUGGCAAGCGUUGUCCAGAAUUAUUGGGCGUAAAGGGCUCGCAGGCGGUUUCUUAAGUCUGAUGUGAAAGCCCCCGGCUCAACCGGGGAGGGUCAUUGGAAACUGGGAAACUUGAGUGCAGAAGAGGAGAGUGGAAUUCCACGUGUAGCGGUGAAAUGCGUAGAGAUGUGGAGGAACACCAGUGGCGAAGGCGGCUCUCUGGUCUGUAACUGACGCUGAGGAGCGAAAGCGUGGGGAGCGAACAGGAUUAGAUACCCCCGUAGUCCCUGUCUCUUAUACA